CCUACGGGUGGCAGCAGUGGGGAAUAUUGGACAAUGGGGGGAACCCUGAUCCAGCCAUGCCGCGUGUGUGAAGAAGGCCCUCGGGUUGUAAAGCACUUUCAGUGAGGAAGAACGCCUGGUGGUUAAUACCCAUCAGGAAAGACAUCACUCACAGAAGAAGCACCGGCUAACUCCGUGCCAGCAGCCGCGGUAAUACGGAGGGUGCGAGCGUUAAUCGGAAUUACUGGGCGUAAAGCGCGCGUAGGUGGCUUGAUAAGCCGGUUGUGAAAGCCCCGGGCUCAACCUGGGAACGGCAUCCGGAACUGUCAAGCUAGAGUGCAGGAGAGGAAGGUAGAAUUCCCGGUGUAGCGGUGAAAUGCGUAGAGAUCGGGAGGAAUACCAGUGGCGAAGGCAGCCUUCUGGACUGACACUGACACUGAGGUGCGAAAGCGUGGGUAGCAAACAGGAUUAGAUACCCGUGUAGUC
rnacentral:rRNA from 1 species